rnacentral:rRNA from 1 species
UGGGGAAUAUUGGACAAUGGGGGGAACCCCUGAUCCAGCCAUGCCGCGUGUGUGAAGAAGGCCCUUAUGGGUUGUAAAAGCACUUUAAGCGAGGAGGAGGCUACUGAGACUAAUACUCUUGGAUAGUGGGACGUUACUCGCAGAAUAAGCACCGGCUAACUCUGUGCCAGCAGCCGCGGUAAUACAGAGGGUGCGAGCGUUAAUCGGAUUUACUGGGCGUAAAGCGUGCGUAGGCGGCUUUUUUAAGUCGGAUGUGAAAUCCCCGAGCUUAACUUGGGAAUUGCAUUCGAUACUGGGAAGCUAGAGUAUGGGAGAGGAUGGUAGAAUUCCAGGUGUAGCGGUGAAAUGCGUAGAGAUCUGGAGGAAUACCGAUGGCGAAGGCAGCCAUCUGGCCUAAUACUGACGCUGAGGUACGAAAGCAUGGGGNGCAAACAGGAUUAGAUACCCUGGUAGUCCAUGCCGUAAACGAUGUCUACUAGCCGUU